rnacentral:tRNA from 3 species
GGAGGUGUCGCAUAGCGGUCCAUUGCACAGGUUUGCUAAACCUGCGAGCUGAGAGGCUCACGUGGGUUCAAAUCCCACCACCUCCGCCC